UUCAAAUAACAUACAGUAUGUUUUUCUUUAAUGCAAGGAGAUGCAAGGAGAAAAAAAAUAGCAACAAAACAUGUUGACCUCUCUCCAGUAAGUUUUCUCAAGAACAUUGCAAAAUACAUGUGAACUCCCUUGGCCUAUUCAGCCUUUCCAGAUGCAUCAUUCUCCUGGGUAGCUAGACAGAUGCAGAGUUAAGUGGGAGUGCAGAUAAGCAUGUUGGAUACCAAUGCUGUACUGAGAUACGUAGGCCUCCAUAUAGUAAGAAUCAUAGAAUGUCCUGGGUUGAAAAGGACGACAAUGAUCAUCGAGUUUCAGCCUCCCUGCUAUGUGCAGCGUCGCCAACCUCCAACCUCCAGACCAGGCUGCCCAGAGCCACAUCCAGCCUGGCCUUCAAUGCCUCCAGGGAUGGGGCAUCCACAACCUCCUUGGGCAACCUGUUCCGUGCUGCCAGUUACGUCUGGAGCUUCCAGAGAAUCUCCAUUACUACUCUGACAGUAGCUGAGACCCAUCUCACUGCUGAUACAUCAUUACAGGAACAACUGUUUACAGGAGUUCAAAUACACAAUAACGUUGGCUUGAAGAUCAUCCAAACUCUGAAGAAAAGCUGGUGUUUGAACAUGGUUUCUCUAUAGUGCUUUCCCUGUGCAGCUAAGACCUUUCAAAGAUG
ensembl:lncRNA